rnacentral:rRNA from 1 species
GACGAACGCUGGCGGCGUGCUUAACACAUGCAAGUCGAACGGAGUGGCGAACGGGUGAGUAACACGUGGGUGACCUGCCCUGCACUUCGGGUUAAGCCUGGGAAACUGGGUCUAAUACCGGAUAGUGUGGGAUGGGCCCGCGGCCUAUCAGCUUGUUGGUGGGGUAAUUGCCUACCAAGGCGGCGACGGGUAGCCGGCCUGAGAGGGUGGACGGCCACAGUGGGACUGAGAGAAGGAGCAGAGUGGAACGGGAGGCAGCAGUGGGGAGUAUUGCACAAUGGGCGGAAGCCUGAUGCAGCGACGGGGCGUGGGGGAUGACGGGCUUCGGGUUGUAAACGACUUUCAGCAACGACGCGGUAGAUGGAGAAGAAGCACCGGCUAACUACGUGCCAGCAGCCGCGGUAAUAC